rnacentral:rRNA from 1 species
UGGGGAAUAUUGCACAAUGGGCGCAAGCCUGAUGCAGCCAUGCCGCGUGUGUGAAGAAGGCCUUCGGGUUGUAAAGCACUUUCAGCGAGGAGGAAGGGUAGUGUGUUAAUAGCACAUUGCAUUGACGUUACUCGCAGAAGAAGCAUCGGCUAACUCCGUGCCAGCAGCCGCGGUAAUACGGAGGGUGCAAGCGUUAAUCGGAAUUACUGGGCGUAAAGCGCACGCAGGCGGUUUGUUAAGUCAGAUGUGAAAUCCCCGCGCUUAACGUGGGAACUGCAUUUGAAACUGGCAAGCUAGAGUCUUGUAGAGGGGGGUAGAAUUCCAGGUGUAGCGGUGAAAUGCGUAGAGAUCUGGAGGAAUACCGGUGGCGAAGGCGGCCCCCUGGACAAAGACUGACGCUCAGGUGCGAAAGCGUGGGGAGCAAACA